rnacentral:rRNA from 1 species
AAUGAACGCUGGCGGCGUGCUUAACACAUGCAAGUCGAGCGGUAAGGCCCUUUCGGGGGUACACGAGCGGCGAACGGGUGAGUAACACGUGGGUGACCUGCCCUCAGCUCUGGGAUAAGCCUGGGAAACCGGGUCUAAUACCGGAUAUGACUCCAUGACGCAUGUUGUGGGGUGGAAAGCCUUGUGCGGCUGAGGAUGGGCCCGCGGCCUAUCAGCUUGUUGGUGGGGUGAUGGCCUACCAAGGCGACGACGGGUAGCCGGCCUGAGAGGGCGACCGGCCACACUGGGACUGAGACACGGCCCAGACUCCUACGGGAGGCAGCAGUGGGGAAUCUUGCGCAAUGGGCGAAAGCCUGACGCAGCGACGCCGCGUGAGGGAUGACGGCCUCGGU